UCCGCGGGGAGGCGGGACUCGGGGCUCGGGGCCCGGCCCAGUGGAGCUCCGGCUGCGGCGGGCGGUGCUAUGGACGCAGCCCGUGAGGCGGGCGCCCGCGGAGCUGAUUUCCGGCGGGAUGGGCGAGCGGGAUGAGCGGCGCUGAAAUGUAUUCCGAGGCCGCGAGGACGAAGAGGGUUCGGCAGUCGAAGAAGUUGGAAAAGUUCUUUAAGAUCACUGGGUCUGACCCGCACCCACCGCGCCCACCGACCGCAUCCCUCAGGGCCGCAUCUCCGCGCUUCUGGAGCGCCCGCGCGGCGGUGCCCUCAUCUCUCCCUGGGCAGCCCAUGCCGGCACCUGAGCGCUCUUCGGACGGCGUAUCUCUGCUGAUACCAGCCCGACUCUCCUCUGGUGCCAUUGCAGGCUGUUACACGGUCACUUUCAGCAUCUUGUCGCAUCGCCAUUGAAUCUGACCCAUUUUAUAUUUGUAAUUCCACCAUCCUGCCAAACCGUAAUGGGAAAUCAACGUCAAAAUUGAACUGAUUUCACCGUAGGAGUAGUUGAAUACUAUAAACAGCCACACUCUUUGAAUUUUUAUAUAUGCAGUUUCCUGUUGGGAGCCGUCAUGCUCUCAAAACAGCUGUAGAAAUAAUGUAGAAGCAUGAUCACAACCAGGUUCCCAUCGAGCAUGCAAACUUUUUUUUUUUUUUUUUUAUGCGGACUUAAUUUAUCUUUAUUUUAAAAUCUCAGAUCUUAUCUUGCUGUGGAAGCUGCACUGGUCAGGUACUCCACUGGUCAGGUACUCCUCUAGAAGUGUAUUCUUUCUUUCUUUCUAGAAGGCCUGAUAUAUUGAUUAUUUAUGUUUGUUUGUUUGUUUGUUUUUCAUGACGGGGCUUUAUUAACCCCAUGGGCUGAAAAGUUUUAAAAUAUUCUUAAAUGUUUUCAGUUGCACUUUAAAACUUGAAAAAUCCUCACCCUACAGGCACUAGAAAUAAAAUCAUCAAUGUAUGUAAAGAAGGAAGGUACUUAAAAGAGAGAAAUAAGGAGAACUGAUUGGCUGGCUUUUCAUACUGCUGUUAUGUAAGAAAUACAUUUCUGGACUCUCCCAGACUUGUCUGGAAGGAUUUUAAGCGCAGAUGGAACAGACCUGCCAGGAUGUGCUCAAUAGUCUGGAUCUGAAAAAUCCUUUUCCCGUAAGCAUCUCGCAAAGCUCCUAGGUUUUCUCAUUCUCAUUGCAUAGUGUGUGGAAUUAAGUUAGUACAAUGCUUGAGGACAAUGAACCUCGAGCAACUCAGGGCGCUGUUUUUCCUUGUGUUCCUCUCUUUGGAGAAAGGGAGCAGGAACCAACCUGAAGCUUCGUGCAUCCCAGGGCUCACUUGCUGUGGCAUGAUCUCUCUGGGUUUUAUGCAGCUGAACUGUUUCCUAGAGAAAUGUCUUACUAGAGAAACUGGCAGCCUUUGGCUUGGUAAAGAGCUGGGUGGAGGGCUGGGCCCAAAGUUAUGGAGUUAAAUGGAGUUAAAUCCAGCUGGUGACCAGUCAUGAGUGGUGCUCCCCCAGGGACUGGUACUGGGGCCUGUCCUGUUUAUAUAUUUAUUGAUGACCUGGACAGUGGGAUUGAGUGGAACCUCAGUAAGUUUGAAGAUGAAACCAAGUUGGGAGGAAGUGUUGAUCUGCCUGGGGGUAGGGAGGCUCUUCAGAGGGACUGGGACAGGCUGGGUAGCUGGGCUGAGGCCAAUAGGAUGAAGUUCAGCAACACCAACUGCCAGGUCCUUCACCUUGGCCACAACAACCCCAUGCAGCGCUACAGGUUUGGGGCAGAGUGGCUGGAAACAGUGUGGAAGAAAUGGACCUGGGGGUGUUGGCUGACACUCGGCUAAACAUGAGCCAGUAGUGCGCUCAGGUGGCCAAGAAGGCCAAUGACAUCCCAGCUUGUAGAAGAAAUAGUGUUGUCAGCAGGAUCAGGGAGGUGAUCAUCCCCCUGUGCUCAGCUCUUGUGAGGCUGCACCUUAAGUACUGUGUUCCAUUUUGUGCCCUUCGCUACUAUAAGAGCAGCGAGGCCCUGGAGUGUGUCUGGAGAGGGACAAUGAAACUGUGAGGGUUGAGGAGCAGCUGAGGAAGCUGGGAUUUUUCAGUAUGGAGAGGAGGAGGCACGGGGGAGACCUUGCAGCUCUCUACAACACCCUGAGAGGAGGUGGUGGCGAGGUGUUGGUUGUCCUCUUCUCCCAUGUAAAUAAGGUUAGGACUUGGGGGAAUGGCUUCAAGUUGCACCAGGGAACAUUCAGGUUGGAUAUUAGGAAAAAAUUCCUUCUCCAAAUUGGUGUUUAGGUGCUAAAAUGGGCUACCCAGGAUGUUGGUUGAUUCACUGUCCCUGGGAGUUGUUCAGGGAAGGCAGAGAUUUGGCAAUGAGGGAGAUGAUCAGUGGGCAUGGUUGGACUACAUGAUCUUGAAGGUCUUUUCCAUCCUUUGGUGGAUGCUAUGAUUCUAUGAUUAUAGCACUGAGACGAAUUCAUGCCUUGUGCAAAUUCAGGUAGAACCAACUACCUGUCUCUUUGUUGUUACCUGCUCCUUUUGUUUGGGCCUCUGCUGGGGCCAGUGAUCUGUAACACACUGAGCCAGUGAAGGAAUCCUCCAUAUCUACAGGUGCCUCUGGGAAGCUGGCAGGAGCUGAAGAGAUAGAGAAGGGCAGUAAGAUCUGAGCUUGGAUGGGAGGAAGUAUGUAGGGAAGAGUGAUCGUGGAAAUAAGUGAAAAAGGCAAAAUUAGGUGCAGGACUUGUGAUGGUUUGGCUGUAGGCAUUUCGGUUUUCUUGUUCCUGUUGUGCAUGUGUGUGUUCUGUUCGUCUAAUCAGAAGUAUGGCUUGCUAAUAUGGGAGUAAGAAAGGAGCAGGAAAAGAGAUGUGCAGAAUGAAAGAAACAUCUUUUCACUAGAUGGCACAACAAGCAUGUCUGAGAACAACCGAGGGCUUGCUGGGGCUCUUUGCAGUGGAUUUCACAGCACACAGCGCUGCUAAAUUUCUUUGUUUUUUCCUUUUUUCCUUUCCUCCUUCCUUUUUCUUCUUCUUUUUUUAAUAUGCUUUUCCCCAUAGCUUCAGUGACUGCUCAUUUUCAGUAGGACAAUUUUAAAAGCUUAUUAAAGUGGUAAAUUACUGUCUAGUAGUUUAAUGUUGAAUUCAAACAGCACAGCAACAAGGGUUGCAACUACAGUGAGUUGUGAUGAGUAAGGUAAUGUGCUGGGAUGUUCAUUGCAAAUCAAACAUUUCACAGAGUCUUUAGUUUGUUAAUUGUGUUCUUUUGCAUGUUAUGCCUUUGACUAGAGAUUAAAUUUCACUAAAUGAAUUGUUUCGAAUAACAGAUAAAACACCGUGUUGUGUCAGUCAUUCUUGAGAAGGGGAAUUUCAUUCAACACUUUGAAACGUAAAUGCUAUUUGCAUAUUUAUGCGUAUAAAUUAUUUUUAGCACUUUCUGAGGAACUCGCUCCCCUUUAAGUGAUUGCAUCUGUCUAAUAGGAUUUGGAUCUUUAUGGGAGAAUGAGACACCUCUAGAGAAAGUAUCAUAGGAUGUCCCUUAGUGUUAAAGAAGUAAUGUAGAAGGUUAGCACAACAGGUGUAGUGAUAUGUUGAGUAGUAUCCAUUCCCAAAGCAAAAUUUGGGUUCGCAUAUCCUUAUGAAACUGGUAGGGAAUAAUAUAGGUUUGUGUUGGCAUAAAUGAGCUGUUGUAGUACAUACAAUGGUGAAUGUUAGGAUGUGGUCUGGUGCUAACUUGGCCAUUGCUAUUAAUGUCCAAGAGGAGAGUGAAAAGAUGGAAACUGUCAGCCCUAUAGCUGAAGAGCAGUCCUGUCAGAAAUGCAUUCUAGUUGGGUUCUCAUAUGUUCUGUGACUUCUUGUAAUAACCUGAGUGGAAUUUGGAAUGUAAAAUGAUAGAAUCUGAUCACAGCACAAGAGAGGUAAGUGUAGACCAGGAGUAAUUCUUUAUAAUGCCUGUCUGCUUCUCAAGAAAUGCAGUGGAGCAUUUUUUUGCAUAAAUAUGGCUUACUCAGGAAAAAAAAAAAAAAAAAAAAGUUUACCCUAUCUGAAAAUUAAUGGUGUUGAGUUCAAUAUGGCCUUUGAGACAGAAGCAAAGAGUAGAAAAACAAAAUCUUCUACCCAAGAAUUCCCUGAAUGAAACAAUUACUCAGUCUAAAUGGAAGCUGUGUUUUGAAAUUAGCCUAAAUUCAAUUUUUUUAUUUAAUGAUUAAUUGGAAAAAAAAUUAAAGUAAAGCUUCUAAAAUUGAAAUGAGUAAUACAAAGAAUUUGCAGAAAUGCAAAAUUAUUUGAUAUAUUUAAAUUUUUUGGUUGGUUGGUUUUGAUCGGAUGGAUGUAAACUAAAGGUUUGUUGUUAUUGUUGAGAGAAGUAAAAAGAUAGCAAAUCUCUGAUAAUUUUAAUAAACCUCGUAUAUUCAGUAUACUCAGUUUGCCUUACAGUAUCUUUUAGAUCCAAAGAGUAAUUGUUUAAUUAGCCUGCAAAGAGAUGAUAGGAGCAGUUAUGUUUUUGUGCCAAAACUAUGAUUUUCCUUUGUUUACAGACUCAUCAGUCAAAACUGACAGCGUGAUGAUUUCUGAGAGCUGCAGCUGACUAAUUGUUGAGCCCCAUUUACUUGAUGUGCCUUUAAACAGCUUCAGUACCGGCAGACCUGCUGUCCAUACAAAUUUGUCUGCUCCCUUGACACGGCAGAAGAUUCUGGCCUAUUGGUAUUGAGUGUUGUGGAAUGGCAUCAUUUUAAAUAGGGCAGCUACAUUAUGAAGAGGAACAGAAAUAUCAGAAUGCCCUUGUGCUUACAUUUUAUUUAAUGUUGUGACUGUAGGUUCUGUACACCACCAUGAUUAUGUUGGGGAUUCAUUUCACAUUCCAAGGAGGCCCAUACUGGGCUGCCUCUCUUCUGUUUUUCCUACACAGUUGUGUAGAAACCAAUUCCCAUUUGAGCAGCAUGUCUGAAAUCAGUACAUGGAAUACUUUCUCACUGCUACCUGGUUGCUUCACAAAAGGGAGAGGCUGCUUAACAAUGAAUGAUCUGUGGUUCUUUAGCAAGACUGCUGUAGCUGUCCUCUUCAACACAACCUGCUUGUUCAGAGAACUUCUCCUAGUGGUGCGCUUGUUUUUUGUUUUGACUGCUUUAUCUCAGAACAUUUUGUACACUAUGAUUGUAUUUUUUGUCAUCUUUUUUCUUCUGUCCUCCUCCUUCUCUCCCCCUUCUCUUUUUACAAUAGGUUCUUUAGGCAUCUCAUACAUCAGUAGCAGUUUCAGAGUUAAAAGGGAACUGAUGCCAAAAGAAUAUGUUUCUCUGUGAAAAAUUUCUUUAAAAUAAUCAUAUUUCAGAUAUCAUUUUCAAAGCAGGUCACUUUCCAUUAUUUUGCUUUGAAAAUGAUUUUACAUUUUCCAUAUAUUUCUCAUCUGUUAAAGUGUUUAUUCUGAAUCAUACUCAUUUACAUUGAGGUAGGAUAUCCAUUACUGAUGGCAGUAAAUUCCACUGCUAUGACAAAUUGAUACCUCCAUCCCAUUUUGCAGGAGUAUUUGUGUUUUCCUGUUUUGCCCCUUUUUCAGACCAGAUUGCCCUCUUUUCUGUUUGUAUUAAUAUGAUGAAGGCAUAGUGUUUUGUUACCUGUGACUAGCAGAGGAAGGUGCUACUCAUGUCUCUAAGUGCUUAUUGUGCCAGCUUUCUUGUCUGGCUCACUGGUGUCAGUUCAAAUGAGGGUGGCUGCAAUGAACUCAAGAGCUGUCUUAGCCUUCUGGCUAAGAUCAGUGCAUCAUAUCAGCAUCUGACAUGCUUUCUCUCAGUGAGAGAGCUGUAUUAUGCUCCACCAUGCCAGUGUAAUCUGUGAUCUAAUAAGAUUUCAUUUCUAAUUUACCCUCUCUCAGCCUUCUGUAAGCAGAGAAAGUGAGCUGGCAGAUAAAUGACUGCAUGGGAACUGUUGAGUCAUGACCUGACCCACUGAUUGAUCGCCCCGGGAAAGGACCUGGUCAGCCCUGGGAGCACAGGUGAAGGCAAUUCAGCAGUGUGACCAGAAGAUGUGGAGUCUGGCUGCACUUCUCUUAGACCUCAUUUAGGUCUAAAAGAAGGCUGCACUUCUCUUAGACUGCUAUGGGGAAGGAUCUCUGAUUGGAGAUCCCUCCAUGGUGAAGCUUUCCUCUGUGAACCUAGAAUCUUGAUACAGGUAAGCAAUCUUCUUCCCUUCCCUUAUAGCACCACUCUGUUGUGCUAGUCCUCUCAUCAUUACACCCUUGCUGUAGCACCUUUCUUAUUGCACUGAUCUGUUCAAUUGCUACAGCUGCCUUUGUUCAUAGUUUUUAUUCAUAGCAGUGUCCUGACAAGUACCUUGAAACUGUAGUUGGCAGAUUAGUGUUAGUUGAAUUACCAUGCAAGUAGUGACUUAAAGCUACGUUGUUAAGAUUGUUCUUAAACUUACUCCAAGUAAGAGUCAUUUAAAGUAGUAAUAAAAUAGUAAUAAAGGGUGAGUUCCCUUGGAAACACUGAGCACAAGCUAUUUAUGAUGGUUUAGCAAAAGAGGUCAAAGCUGCUAACUGUGGGCAGGGGAAUAGAACAGUAAUGGUCAGAGGAGUUAAAAAUGAAGGAAAUGUUAAUUGUACAGUUUGUUCGCUUCAGCUUUCCCUUCCUCUUGAAAACAAAGCUCCUUCUGAAGACACCUUUUACUGUUCUUUAGUAAUCAAACUGCUUAGAGUCUCAGUAGCUGGGUUGGGGAUUAUUCACAUAUGCCCUGGAAUCUCUAGGAGUGUUUCUGUCAUUUUCUAAAGAUCUUUUGCUAUAGUAAUUAAAUUUUAGGAAAGUAGCUGAAAUAGGUCAGAGCUCUCUUAGUAUCUGUCUGCUUACAUUAUGCUGCUUCCAGCCAAUCAAGCAGCUCCAAGUAAAGGGAGAUUUUAAGAAUUGCAGGCUUAAUGAUAAUUAUGAUUCUGUGAAGUAAUGAUAAAUCUGACUCACUAGAAAAUGCUAUAAGCUUAGGUUUUGCUUUUGGGGAAAAACAAAAAUGCUCACAACCAAUAAAAUCAAUUCCUUCAAAACUGUCAUAGUGGCAGCUUUUGAACAGAUGAUGGUCCUCUGGCCUAACCUGGCAGUUCUGUGUACAGUGAAGCACUUGGAGAUAGACUUUCAUAAAAUCAGCUGUACUAGCCUUCACUAACCACACUGAGAGAACGUGCUUUCCUUCUUAAUAAAUUAUUUAUUUAUUUGUAAUAAGCUCCAUCUGUGAUUUGCUCAGGAUGGCAGAUUUUGUCAGCAAAACCAAGAAGGAUAAACCAGCUUUUUGCAGAUGUACUGUAACAACUUUGACCUCAGGCAGUCCCCUUUCUCUCCCUUCCUCAGCCAUGGCUUCUAUGUAGCCAUUCCAUAGUAUCCUUGUCUUGCAAGCACAGUCUUUGUACUGUUAUGUAUUUUUGCGAUUGCCCUUUUGCCCACUUGGUAAUUAUUUCUCUUCUGUUUUGUUUUUUUUUCCCCCUUAUUUUUGGUAUUUUUUAGCAAGUAUUGGUGGUAUUGUGUGGUACUCCCAUGUUUUUUCUGAUGUUUAAGAAGCAUUUGUUCCUUGCAGGAAAUUGUACAUUAAAUAUGUCGCCUCCCGAUCUGACGACAACUCAAGGCUGCCUAGUGACUGCACCGUGCCUCUGCACACGGGGAACAGAUGGGACUCACACACAGAACCUUGAACAAAACACAGAAGAUGAGCAUUUGCAGACCAUGCGAACACAUAUAGAGGAGAAGGCAUAUUUCAAGGAAAAUGACUGAAAUGUUAACACCUCAGAAUGGAGGCUCUAAGGUGAGAUGUAAACAAACAAGGUCACAAAUGGGAGGUUGAAUUGCUCUGGGAUGCAUUAAAUGUUUGCGCUUUGCAACUUUUAUAUGAGAUUUUCAUUUUUCAGUUCCAACUCAAAGUAUGAAGCCAGUCAUCUGAUCUGUUGCAGUUGGAGCAGUCUCCCUGUCUAUUCACUUCUUAUUAUUUGGAUAGAUUGUUGUGCAAAAGGUCUCAUUAACGUAUUGUUUAGAAUUGAAAACCUGCUCAGUUUCAUUUUUAAAUCAUUUGCGUAUGUUCUUAUUUUUCCCAAUAAUGUACUGAUUUCACUGACACAAGAAGAAAUGAUGUAGUUGCUGAAGUAAGAUCAGAAUAGAUAUUAAAGAGCCCGUGCUAGUUCACACAUAACAUGAAUAUUCUGGGCUCUAGGCCCAUAAAGGAACUGACUACUCUUCAACUCCUUCACUCUGUGAAAUAAAAACUCACUACUUGCCUAGGCCAUUCAGCUGGGUGCUCCCUGAUUCCUUUACUUUAGGUGUGUGACAAAGCCAUUAGUUUAAAUGAGGACACUCACUGAAAGAUAGGUUUGGAGGUCAGCAGCAGGAAGCCAGAAGGGAGUAAACAGAAUUUUUUAGUGUUCUGUUGUUUUACUUCACCAUAUUCAAGUGAUUAACGAUUACUACCUCAUUCCUCUGUUUCAUUCUCCCAUGCUGAUCUCCUUCCUGGGUGCUGACGUUUUUCUUCUACCCUCUCUUUGCUAAAUUUUUCUGGUAAGUCAAGCAACAAGCUGCCUUUGUUACAGGGAGCAAACUGCUGAGGGUCACAGGGACCUGUAUCAUCUGGGCUGUCAGAAUCCCUACCCCUUUUUCCAAAGUGCUGGUGUUUCUCCCAGUUUUGAUCACUUAGGUCUAGCUCAUUAUUCCAGCCUCUCUUGCUAGGGUGCUGGUGUUCAUACAUCAGAUAUCUUCUGCCUGGAUGCUGUCUUUUGGAUAACACAUUUAAGUAAGUUAGCUGUGAACUAGAGAGAUCAGUGGACUGGUCCUGCAGUGACCUGCCAGGAUGCUGUCGCUUUUUCAGCUCCAGGUAGUUGCCAAGGUAGCCUUCUACUUCUGUUUUCCCUAAACGCUGUCUCUUCUGAAUGUUUCCAAAAGAUGCUUCUUCCUCAGCAUCUCUUUUUCCACAGUGCUGUCUCUUCUCCAGGUCACUUACGUAUCUUUUUCCAGGAUGUUGUCUUUUGGAAAUCCAUUGUGGCAGAGGCAUGUUUAAUUCUGUCCAAGGAAAAGAAUAAUGUUAAUAUAACCCCUGUAAAUCCUCACUGAAGGACUUGAAAUAUGAGAUCAUAAUUUGUUGUUAAUUAUAUGCAUUUAAUUGCACUGUUAACAGUGGUCUUGAAAUUGAUCACUCUGGAUGGCUUCUGUCAAAACAAUUCUGACACAUUUUUACCCAGGGCUGACUGAUAUCUUAGGAACUAUCUGCAAACAAAGUGGGAAGGCAUGCAAUAACAAAGCUUGGCGUGUUGAUUUGAAAGAGGGUGAGCUUAGGAUGCUGGGCAGCUAGUUGAGAUCAGCUGCAUAGCUGAGUACCCAGGAGAAGCUAGACAUCAGCAUGAGAUAGAGAAAAGGUAGGGCUGAGGUGCAAGUAGAAGAGGGAAUGUGUACAUUUGAAUGUAAAGUCAGUAUUUCCAACUACCCUAACUCUAACUAACCCUAUCUCUUACUGUGUGCUGUUGCUUGCAGUCACUAAGCCUGAUUUACUUACCAGUGCUGUGACUGGUGAGAGCAGGGCAUCAGCAAGCUGUCAGGUGUGGGCUGACACUAGCACAGCCUCUACAUUCCCAGCCAUAGUAAAGCCCAUCUUUGUUGGAAUGUGGAAGCUUGAAGGUUGAAGUAAUAGGUGAAUGGGAGCACUCCUACCUCCCCGUUAGCAUUAGGUACAGGGUCUAAAAGUGGGGAAUGCCAGAUAGUAGAGGCUUGUCACAGAUUAUCUGCCUUUUUUUUCCCCCUCCUAUAUAGCAGAUUACUCACUAAUAGUGUAGCACUGCUUAAGCUUGGAGAUCUUGAAGAAGAAAACUUCUUUUGAGAACUGUGUCAGUGUAUUACAACAGACUGUCUGUCCUUUUCCUUCCCUUAAUUAGAAUAAUAAAUAUGUACAAUGAGCAACUGGGAAAUAAAUACACUGACUAAUACCCUCAGCCAAGGAGUACACAAGUAUUUUUAGAGGGAUGUCCCCAGUGUUAUAUAUACCUUUAUUCAUCUCUUCUUUCUUUUCAACUUUCUUGAGGACAGAUUGAAGCAUGCGGCUUUCAGAUCUCUGCAGGGUGUCAUCUAGGGAACUUCUUCCUAUGUUUUCACUUACUUCUGGAGGGGACUGCCUGCCAUUGAGGCAAACACCAGACAAGGUCAGGCAAAGGAGUAGCACUGGCAGCUGGAUAGAUGGCAUUGUGAUUUCCUGCAACUUCCAUGGGAGAGAGAACAAUGGGAGAGGAGGAUGGAGUUAAAUAAAUCUAACAAUAAUGGCCAUGACUCCAGACACUGAAAAUGUAUUUGUCCCUGAUCCAUGGACUGAAGUCUCUCAUGAAGAUCCCUUCUGUUUUCUGUUAUAUUCCUCCAAGAAUAUGUAAAUUCCUCAUAAUUGAAACCAGACACUUGUUCAUUUGUUUUUUUCUUAUAUGUAUAAAUAUGAGCAUUUUAAACAUAUUACUUCAUGAUGUAUGGAUGAUUUGAAAGCAAGGCAUUGUUUUUUCUUUUGUCAAGAGGCAAAAAUAAUUUCCCUCUUAAACACUGUAUUAACUGUUGUCUGCAUGAGGUGCAUAGAUGUAUACUUGUACUAACAGUGCCCACCAGACAAUUCCUUUAUGAUGGGUUCUUUUUAAAAUGUUGUGACUUACAGCACUUCCAUUUUGCAUUCAGAUAAAGCCUAGCUUCAAUUGCCUGUUAGUUCUUAAAUAUUUCUUUCAAUGCAUUUGAAGUAGCUGCUUGUAGGUUUUGGUUUUUUAUUUUCCCCUCGCUUAAAAAGGUAGCUGUGCUGUGUUAGCUAGAGAGAUUUCUUUCAUUGGGAAACCAUCACACACAUUUUUCAGAGGCACAUAAUAAUCACCACAUUCUCUAUUACUGUUUGUCCAGAUAACAAGUGUUUUUCUGUUUGUUCUGGCUAACACUGGAAUUCCUAAGGCACCACUGAUUUAUUUUCCAUGUAAAAGAUUUGGAACAAAUUUAAACACUGUGGCUAGCAUCUGUUAUGUAGAGUUCAUUCUCUGUUGCUUCCCUAAGACAAGAAGUGCAUGAGUACUUGGGAAGAUAAAAUCUAAGAGAGGGAAAUGAAGGCAACUCUUAUACCAUGGACUCUACUUCUUCCUGUAUUGAGUGCCAGCCUUGGUCCUGUUGCUGCUGCUUACUGCAAUCCUUGGUGGUUACAUGUCAUUAAGUGUCCUGUGGUGCUGCAACAAUGAAGAUCAGAAUCCUAUUAUGCUUGCACACUGUGUCAAGGCAAGUGGAGUGAGUGAACUCAAAGCACACAACAGAAGUUCCUUAAAUCAUUUCAUACCUACUUCUGCUGAGAAGCCUCUGAAACAUGAAGUCCGUGUGCUUCUAAACUCUUCUGUCAAUAUGUGCCUUGUGACUGCACCUGCCUCUGAACAAAGAUAUAUUUACAUCCAGUUAAAGAAUGUCUUGAAGAUGAAAACUACAGCAGCUAGUGUAUUUUUAUAAGCACCAAGAUGGGAGUCUGUAUGGACAUUUGGUUGGAAGGGAGUUUGGGAACUGGGACAGCUGUAUUCUAUUUCUCUCUCCUGUUCUCUUGCUCUGUGACUAUUAGGGAUGCAUCAAGACAGAAAUCCAGCUAUAGCUAAAGUCGUAGUCAGACUAUUUAUAGGCGAAAUAAAGUAGAACCUUAAAUACCUGAAUUUUGUAUUUCUUGGCUACAAACAAGGAUUAGUGAUGCAAGGCACAACUCCUAAUUUUUAUGCAGUGCUUUGAAACUCUCAGAUGGUGAGAAAAUAAAAGCAUAGUUAAUCUUUAGGAAGCGAGUUGAAUUCACAAGGCCCAGUAGGUCUGAUAUGCAAGUUUAUGUUAAGAACAUGGUAAAUAGAAAAGGUGUAUUUGAGUGGACAAGCACGAAGCUUUGGUGUGACAGUUUGUGAUAUGAAUGCUUUCUUGGCUUAAGAACAAUGUUGUAAGAACCUGCUGGUGAGCAGUUUCCCAGGAUUCUUUCUACAAACCACUGAUGACUUCCAUAAACAGUUUUCUCCUCCUUCAGAUACUAAUACUUGUCUCUUUCUUUCCUUGCUUAUAGCUGCUAUCCGAUUCAAAUUGUUUCAUGUUGGCAUCUAAAGCGUGGUAUGACAGAAUUCUAGAAAUGCAUUCCUGAAAUGGCUGGUGAUGGUCUUCAUAUCCUUUGGUGUAGAGAUAGCUGUAUUGCAUCAGUGGUUUUCAGCUUGUAGUAUGAGACAAUGCAGCGUUUGGAAUGACUUCAAAAGGACGAGUGAAAGGUCAUUAAUAAAAUCUGUCCUUUUAUUAAA